UACGUAGGGGGCUAGCGUUGCCGGAUUUAUUGGGCGUAAAGAGCGUGUAGGCGGCCAGGUAGGUCUGCUGUGAAAACUCGAGGCUUAACCUCGAGAUGUCGGCGGAAACCAUCUGGCUAGAGUCCGGAAGAGGAGAGUGGAAUUCCUGGUGUAGCGGUGAAAUGCGCAGAUAUCAGGAAGAACACCCGUGGCGAAGGCGGCUCUCUGGGACGGUACUGACGCUGAGACGCGAAAGCGUGGGGAGCGAACAGG
rnacentral:rRNA from 1 species